GUGCUCACUUGGGCAGCACAUAUACUAAAACUGGAACAAUGCAGAGAAGAUUGAUUAGCAGGGCCCCUGCGCAAACAGGACAGGCAGAGUCGUGAAGCGCUCCAUACUUUU